UUAGGGACACUACUACAUAUAUGAGGUUAGGUAAGCCCGAAGAGAGCAAGAGCAGAUGACAUGGGACUAUUUUCCUUCUCCCGUUAUAUCGUUCUGGUAUUAUUACUCUCUGCAGCAAUCUCGGCCAUGCAGCCUUAUCAAAUCAGUGCAGAUCAUACCAAAGCCGGAAAACUAGCUAGUGAUCACAGACUCCCGCCAAGUCCUCCCCCUCCUCCACUUUCAAACGUGGGUCCUCAUAUUUACAAGCCACCCCCAGCGCCAUCGCCACCACCACCGCCACUGCUACCGCCACCGCCAUCGCCACCGCCACUUCGUAAUAAUCCUUAGUUUAAAGGGGGAGUAAUUUAAGGGUUUGCAAUAUAUAGUUAUAAGGUGUUUACUGUUUUUCCUUAAUAUAAUAAUAAUAGGAAAAGUGGGAAUUCAAUUUCUACUAUUUCUUUUUCCGGAGAUCAUUAAUGUAAUAUAUAUUAAGGUGUAUUUUUUUUC